UUUCCGUAGGUGAACCUGCGGAAGGAUCAUUAAAGUUAUAGUCCCCCGGCCCCUCCGGGCUGGGGUCUUCUAUACCACCCUUUGUUUAUUACACCUUUGUUGCUUUGGCAGGCCUGCCCUCGGGCCGCUGGCUCCGGCCGGCUCGUGCCUGCCAGAGGACCUAAACUCUGUUUGUAUAUGAAGUCUGAGUACUAUAUAAUAGUUAAAACUUUCAACAACGGAUCUCUUGGUUCUG
rnacentral:misc_RNA from 1 species